rnacentral:lncRNA from 1 species
CUCGGAUGGUAUUGUCACCAAUAGUCCUCUACAUGGUCCAACUGUGCCGGGACGUAGAAUGGGUACAACCGGUCUUUCUCUUAACAUAACAUAUCAUACAUACCAAUGUGCCAGGGACGUAGAAUGGGUACAACCUGGACUUUCUCUUACAUCGUGCCAGGGACGUAGAAUGGGUACAACCUGGACUUCCAUACCAUAUCAUGCCAUAACAUCAUCAUAUCAUAUGAGGACUAAAGGAUCAU